CCCACUCUCUCUGUCUCUCCCUUUCUCUCCGUUGGUAGAGAGAGACAUGAACGGGGAGAGAGAACAGGAGCAGGAGCAGCAAGAAGAGGGUCAAGAAAGCUGUGGGAAGAAAUGGCAUAUCCAGGACUUUCAAUUGCAACUAAUUUCCAAUUGCUGGGAGCGGGAGAUUUCAUGUUAAUCUCCACGAGGCCACCUCUUGCGGAUGACAUUGGCAUCAAGUAUACUAUGCUUGACCCUACGUUCGACAAGGGCCAUCGUGCCCGUUUUAUUGAGAACGGAGUGAUGCUCCUGCCACUGCGGAUGAGGGGUCACGGGACGACCGUGAAGAUGGAGUACGACGAGCGGUACGCGCCGUUCUACAGGAGAGCCCGACUGCUGGGUUUCGUCCUACAGUUCAAGCGCAAGCUGCCGGCGCUCGUCCACUCAGCUCUCACGGCUUUGGUCGAUCGGUGGCGGCCAGAGACGCACAACUUCCAUCUUCCAUGUGGGGAGAUGACGGUUACACUCGAGGAUUGGGGGAUGAUUACGGGCCUACCGCUCGAGGGUAAUGCUCUGACAGGACGAGUGGAGAGGAAGAACUGGCACGACAGGGUUGUCGCCCUCAUUGGCGACUGCCCCCCAGAUAAGAAGAACCGGACUUCCGGCGCCCCGCUGCCCUGGCUCCUGAAGUACCGGAGCAAGUGCCCGGAAGGGGCUGAACCUCGGGUGGUGGAGUAGUACGCCAGGGCCUACCUAUGGUAUCUUCUCACGGAGGUAGUGUUUCCAGACUGCUCUAGGGACAUUGCCCUCUGGAUGUAUCUCGACUUCCUGGCGGACUGGGAUGCGGGGUACAGCUGGGGGGCCGCCGGCCUCGCCUACCUAUACCGUUCGCUUGACGAUGCAACCCGGAGGACGGAAGCUACGUCCGGUAUGUGUGGAUGUGUGUGGGGCCUCUCCAUUUGGAUGUGGGAGCGAAUCCCGGUGGGUCGUCCGGAGAAGCUUAGAGCGCGUGCAUGGACUUACUAUGGCGAAGAUGGCGACGAUGCUCGAUACCCGACCGCCGCAUACGCUUGGGACGUGGUGGGUACAAUCUCGGGUGAAUCCAAGGCCUUGUACAAGAUCUUCAUCAACGAGCUUGAUGCUCUGACGCCUCUCCAAGUUAACUGGCGGUCGUAUACUGACGACCGAGAGUGGGGGUUCGAGCUGAACAUGAUGUGCAAGCAGGACCGGCUUCUCUGGCGGUGCAUCGUGCCCAUGAUUUGUGUCUAUGCCGUCGAGUACCACUUGCCACAGCGCGUUUUGCCGCGCAGUUUGGUAAGGCGCAGCGUACACCACCCGCCGGCAUCGUCAAAGAUACCGGUGGCUACGACCUGCACUUGCUGAGCAGGCAGAAGAAUCAGUCUAUCACUGAUUGGGGAGAGCAACAUGCCAAAUACGUGACUGAAUGGAACCAGUGGAAAACUCGCAAAGAUGUGGAGAGAAGAGUGAUUGACUGGGAGGAGUACUCAGAUCACCUGCUGUGGUUCGACGAUGGCAUCAAGCAUCGUCUGCGCCUAAGGCCAUAGUGGACGACGGCAGACGCCGAAAGUCUGUACGACGACGACUCCGAGAAUGAAGCCUACAAUGACAGCAUCAGAGAGCUACAGGGCGGAUUUAGGGAGUACGGACCCAUCAUGAAGAGAGUGUCUUCGGAGCUGAACAAAAGCAUUUUUGAUGCCUCUGAUGCGCUUAGUUCUAUCCCCGGGACUCGAGCUAGUGAGAACAAGUUGAGGGGAACGGUGAAGAAGUUCGUCAAAAAAUGUCGCAAGCUUGUGGGCCUGCUUGGGUGUGCCACCUCCUCUGCUGAUGUGAUUGCUCCUGCAGGACCGAUGCGUAGCCUCGCUUCAUCGAGCCAGGCCGCCUCAUCGUCUAUGGCGGUUCAAGAUGACGAGGAGGAGGGCGAGGACGAUGAUGAUGAAGAGGAAGAUGAAGAAGAAGGCGAGGAAGAGGGAGCAGAAGAAGAACAUGGUGAAGAAGAGGAAGAGGACGAUGAGUAAGAGGACGAUGAGGAGGAGAAGUACGAUGAUCCCGACGGACCUCCACCAACUCAGACAACCCAGCGUGAGAAGAGAAAUGUGCCGAAGAAGGAUUGGAAGAGUCCAUCCCCGUUUCAGAAAGCGCGUCCUACUCAUCGCAAGAAGGCAGCCGAGAAGCGAUCAAAGAAUAACGAGGACCGGACCGCGAAGAGGGGAAGGAAGGACUGAAGUUGCUGCCGUGUCGUUGAACUAAAAACUUGUAUGUUUGCUUCGUGAACCAUAUGGAUUUGCUGGUGAAACUGUUUCGUUAAUUUGCUAUGUAUAACUUGGUGAAAACCUUUGUGGAUGUCUA